ACUCCCUCGCCGCCCGCAUUCUCGUAAGCAAAUUACACUGGCUCUUCGUCUCUUUUUACUAAUUAUUUCCAUAAAUUUUUAAUUUUUUUAAUUUCUGUACACCAUUGUUAUUAUUGUGUGUUUCUUCUACUAAGCUUGACUGCAAAAUGGAAGAUAACAGAAAACCAGUUCUAUUUUGCUAACUUGCGCCGGAGGUGUUGCUGCUUUUUCCAGUUAGCUUUUUUGAAGCUUUUCUCCUUUUCUGGCCUUCUCCUCUGUUUGCGUGUUUCUUCCUGGCGCACGCAUCACUGCCUCCGGCUAAUUCGCUUUGAAAUUGGUGAAAAUGCCUUCAUUCCUCGUCCCUUCUUUAGUUCUUUGCCGUGCCGUGUGUGCUAUAUUAUGCUUUUAUUAUCCUCGGCCUUAAUUAUUAAUUAAUUAAUUUUUGGACUGCAAAGUGCUAUCGUGCGCCGAGAGAGGUGCAACGGCUUAUCCUGCGCACGGGUCUUUGAUGAUCGUCGGUGAGUUUUGUAGGUUGGUCGGGGAUGGAUUGAUGUCGAAAUGACCGAUAUGUCCUCGUUUAUUUGACGGAAAUCUCUGUCAUAUAAUAAUUUAGGAAAACUGUCGAAACUGGAGGAAGUUUCUGUGAUGUAGUCGAGGCUAAGUAAAAACCUAUCUGGUUUUAGUUUGGCUCUAUACCUACAAAACAGCUGUACCUGGGUUUUUCGUUGUUGGUGAACUCGGUUUGCUCAGUGAUGGGGUAGUUUGGUCACUUCAAGAAUGUGGGUUUUUGGUCCUUUUAUUUUUCCCUCGUUGACCGUGAUUGGUUGCUGAGAAAACGGAACACAGGACAAGGAAAAAAUCUGAAAUUUUUAAAUUUGUUAGUCAUUUUGUCCUUUGUAUAUUUUUCAUUGCUUUAUUGUUUAAAAAAUAUUUAAAAAAUAAGAGAAAGAAAUGGUCAUCCAGCUAGUCUUUGUUAAAGAAGACUCUGAUGCCUGAUAAAAGAUGUUAUGCUGGAUAAAGAUUUAGCUAGAAAUUGUGAUGUCAUCAGUAUUUUAAUCAGCUUUAUUAUGAUGUUGUUUCCCUCGUUUACAUGCUUGAGCAGAGGAAUCAAGAUGUCUUGAUACAUUAAUCAAGGGGAGUAGUAAUUGGGCUAGAUGAUCAAAUAACUUGAAUCUUUCAAUUCAGCAGAGGCAGAGAUCUUAGUUUAUUUUGGCACGAAAAGAGUUAUUAUCUCCAUGUGCCUAAAUUAUGUAUCUUGCUUUGCUAAUUUUCUUGUUUGUUAAUUCUGCAGCACAGAUUUUCUUCAACAUGCUGCAUCUAUUAAACUCAAUAUUACUUCCAAAUUUAGCUUUUAUUUCCAUAAUCCUUUUGUAAUGUAACAUAAAAAUAUGAUCAACCCUUUCAUAGGCUUGGACCCCAUCAAUUUACCCUAUGAUCUUAUCCGUUACGAAAUUGCUAUAAUCUUCUUACCUGCCUUAAAUGGCACAAUGCUUAUGUCUUCAUUUUCCUGCACCUUUGCAGCGUCAAAAGUUCUAGGGAUUUUGUCAACAUUUCCACAAGAACACAUUUAGUUUGAAAACAAAUUUUCUUUUUCAAAUAAUUAUUCUCUUAGGAUCCUACCAAUUUUUUUUUUAUUUUGCUGGUUAUUAUUUACUAGGAAGUAAUAUGGUGAAUUAAAAGGUCAAAAAGAUGAAUUCAAACAUGCAAGCUGAACUGAAGUUGUAAUAAUGGCAACAAUGAAUCCUUCUGAUCAGGUGGGCUUAAUAUGAAAAUCAUAUCAGUUAUUUAAUUAAAGAGCUGUAAUUUUUUAAUUGUAGAAGUGUACAGGUAUUACAAGGGCUUACAGAACUUCUAACCCUCAAUUAAUAACAUGGGAAAAAAGAGGAAUCUCUGUAGCUGUAUAGCUGAUUCCAAACUACGCCUGAUUGGGUUGAAUUUAGUGAUUAAACUAAGGCAUUUGUUUCUGUCCAUUGAGUGGCUUUUCUGUAUGGUUACUUAUACAAGUAGUCAAGUAUCUUAAUGAAAGUCUAAAUAUUAGCAUUUUGUUAUCUUGUGGCUGCUCCUUUGGAAUCUUAUAUUACUUUUGGCUUUCAAGAUGAGCAUUAGCAUUGCUUAUUAUUCUUGGCUCGCUAGUUUUGUGAUCUUAAGGAUGCUAGGUUUCUGUUGUCAGGAUGAAACUGGUGUAUACAAGAAUCUUCUACAGGAAAUUGCCCAAAGAGUUGGUGCUCCAUUACCGCAGUACACAACAUUCAGGUCAGGCCUGGGGCAUCAACCUGUUUUUACAGGGACAGUUGAGUUGGCUGGAAUUACAUUCACAG
rnacentral:misc_RNA from 1 species